rnacentral:tRNA from 1 species
GGGAAUAUAGCUCAAUGGUAGAGCACUUGGCUAGCAUGUGGGAGGCUCUGGGUUCAAUCUCCAGUACCA